UGGGGAAUAUUGCACAAUGGGCGCAAGCCUGAUGCAGCCAUGCCUCGUGUAUGAAGAAGGCCUUCGGGUUGUAAAGUACUUUCAGUCGGGAGGAAGGUGGUAAGGUUAAUAACCUUAUCAAUUGACGUUACCGACAGAAGAAGCACCGGCUAACUCCGUGCCAGCAGCCGCGGUAAUACGGAGGGUGCAAGCGUUAAUCGGAAUUACUGGGCGUAAAGCGCACGCAGGCGGUUGAUUGAGUCAGAUGUGAAAUCCCCGGGCUUAACCCGGGAAUUGCAUCUGAUACUGGUCAGCUAGAGUCUUGUAGAGGGGGGUAGAAUUCCAUGUGUAGCGGUGAAAUGCGUAGAGAUGUGGAGGAAUACCGGUGGCGAAGGCGGCCCCCUGGACAAAGACUGACGCUCAGGUGCGAAAGCGUGGGGAGCAAACAGG
rnacentral:rRNA from 1 species